CUGGUUGAUCCUGCCAGAGGCCACUGCUAUCGGGGUUCGAUUAAGCCAUGCGAGUCGAGAGGUGAAAGACCUCGGCGUACUGCUCAGUAACACGUGGACAACCUACCCUAAGGAGGGGGAUAACCCCGGGAAACUGGGGAUAAUACCCCAUAGACUAGAGAAGCUGGAAUGCUCUCAAGUCCAAAGGUCCGCCGCCUUAGGAUGGGUCUGCGGUCGAUUAGGUUGUUGUUGGGGUAACGGCCCAACAAGCCCGUGAUCGAUACGGGUUGUGAGAGCAAGAGCCCGGAGAUGGAUUCUGAGACACGAAUCCAGGCCCUACGGGGCGCAGCAGGCGCGAAAACUUUACAAUGCGGGAAACCGUGAUAAGGGAACCCCGAGUGCCCGUAAAUUCGGGCUGUCCAUCAGCGUAAAUAACUGGUGAAGAAAGGGCCGGGCAAGACCGGUGCCAGCCGCCGCGGUAAUACCGGCGGCUCGAGUGGUGGCCACUAUUAUUGGGCUUAAAGCGUCCGUAGCUUGGUUGUUAAGUCUCUUGGGAAAUCUACCGGCUCAACCGGUAGGCGUUCAGGAGAUACUGGCAAUCUAGGGACCGGGAGAGGUGAGAGGUACUCCAGGGGUAGGAGUGAAAUCCUGUAAUCCUUGGGGGACCACCUGUGGCGAAGGCGUCUCACUAGAACGGCUCCGACAGUGAGGGACGAAAGCUGGGGGAGCAAACCGGAUUAGAUACCCGGGUAGUCCCAGCUGUAAACGAUGCGCGUUANGUGUAUCGGUGACCACGAGUCACCGAGGUGCCGAAGGGAAACCGUGAAACGUGCCGCCUG
rnacentral:rRNA from 1 species